ensembl:lncRNA
CCUUUCUGUCAUUGUGGGCUGUAAUGGGCAGGAAGCUGCAGGAGUUGGCCCAGUGACAACCUCCAAAAGAGCCCUGAACCCCCUCCAUACACACACACCCCUCUGUCAGGCUGGGCCAGGAAGAAAAGCACUUCAUAGAGAACAAGAGGGAGGAAGACAGAGAAAGAUCUACUGCAGGCCUCAGGCUUCAGUCCAGAAAAUCUGCCCUGGUCCGUCAUCAAACCUUCCAGCCCCCGGGAGCUUCUUGCCAAUCUAGAACUCACCUGACUGAGGUACUUAACUGCUUUUCCCUGCAGCUUCAUCCAUCUGCUCUGUUCUAAAGUUACUCCAGACAAAUGAUUCAAAUUUAGACAUCCCUUCAACUGCCUUGGCAAUUAAAGAGACACUCAACUUGGCGACAACUGGCAGAGCCUCUUUUAGGGUUGUGUGCACUCUGGGAUUUUUCAUUAGUUUUACCCCUGCAGGUGGUGAAGUGUAUCCGUUUACCUCUCUGAGCUGUUAUGUCUAGCAUUUAGAGGCAUUAGUGGACAUUAGUGACACUGCGGAACAUAGAAUAUACACACCAUUCCCUCUGUGGGUUGAGAAAUGCUUUCAGUAACAUAAGCAUUGUCAUAUUUAGUCUUUGCAUGGCCCUCGCUUUUUAAUUGCCUCCUUUCACA